ACAUGCAGGCAUUGUGCAUGAUGGCUGGCUUCUUGGUAAGUAAAACUAUUUAAGUUUCAUGUUUAAUUGCUCUUAAAUUGUCUUGAAGGUGUUAUGACCCCAAAGAUGGCCAGGGGAUGAAGGGGAGUAACACGAAGGGGACUGGCCUUUUAAGUGUCCCUGAAGUCAGAAAAAAUACUAUUGAACGCCGUUGGUGAGCACACUUCCAGACACGUCAUGUGCACGGGGCUUACUUGUGCCAGCAUGGAAGAAUGGAAAGAAACAACGCAUGAGCUCACUAUACUUUAAAAAGUGUCAUUGUUCAGUUAUAAAAAUAAAGUGACUUAACAAGUU